UUGCAUAAAACAUAUUCAAGAUGAAGUUGUGUAGUUACCACCACCAAAGCCAAAUUGCCAUGUAUCCCAUAUCGUUAUAUGUUUAAGUUAACCCCAUUGAGCCUUGAUAGCGUACAUUCUUUGUUAAACCACAUUAUCCUUACCUAGCCUAGUUUAGGACCAUCCAUACUCUUAUUCUUGAAGCAUAGUAAAGCAUGAUUCAAAUUGAAUUUCUUUUGAUUAAUGUAUGGCAGAAAACAAGUGUGGGGGAAGUGUGAGUUAUUAUGCUUGUUGAAAAGAAAAGAAGAGUUGAAAAAAAAAAAAAAAAAAAGGAGUUGAAAAAUAUGCGAAAAAGAGUUUUAAAGUGCUGUUUGUUGAAGAAAGGGUCCAAAACAUAGAAUUCGGCCCUAAAUAUUGCUUGAAUUUUCCCUUCGUGUCUAAAAGCUGAUUUCUGCAAUCUAAGUGAAUUCUAAGUUUCAAUUUCAUUACUUUACUUGCUAUUGCUUUAAGAACGAUUGUUAUCCUUAUCCUUCAUUUGUUAGCCAUCACCUCAAGCCCCGUUACAACCCUUAACUUCAUCUUGAGUGUCAUGCAUUUCAAUAUGUGGAGUUUGAAAUUGAUAUGAGCAUAUGGUGUCACUGGUUCUCGCAUCUAAGUAGUAGCAUUCCAUUCAUGAGAUCAUAUCUAAACAUGCUUAUUAACUCCAGAAAUUGCUUUCUUUGUGAUACAUAUAUGUGAGCGUUCGUUUUCAUAUCUACAUGAAUCUUCUCACAUAUAACUAGUAUAGGGUGUGUAGUUAGAAAAUCUGAGUGAAAAUUGAGUGCAUAUCUUGUAAGGAAUUGAGUGAUUUCUCUAAGGCAUGUUACUACAUCAAAAACAUUAUUUUAAUCGAUUAAUUGUGAACAAGUAAGUGGUGACUAUGAUUAAGUACAUGCUUAAAUGUGAAGAUGACUCAAAUCUGUGGGGAUAAUAAUUUUUAACAUGUCAUGUGAAUUGGAAAUCCUUGAGGCAAAUGUUGGAAGGUUUAGGUUGUGUUUUUUUUUUUACUUUGUUUCGUUUUAUCUCUUUGUUUUGCUCGAGGACUAGCAAAAGCUAAGUGUGGGGGAAUUUGAUAGGAGCAUAUUUAUGCGACUUAGUUGGCUUGUUCUUGUGCAUUUAUGUCAUGUUUCCUUAGUUAUUUUAAUGUUUAAAGUCAUUUCGUGUGUUUUCAGAUUUUAUGGACAAAGUAGGCAAGAAGAUGCAUUUUGGAGCGUUUUGGAGCAAAAUGGAGCUUGGAAUGCAUGUCACAUAUUUGGGCCAAAGUGGAUG
rnacentral:lncRNA from 1 species